rnacentral:rRNA from 1 species
AGAAUCAACGCUGGCGGCGUGCCUAACACAUGCAAGUCGAACGAGAAAGGGUAGCAAUACCUGAGUAAAGUGGCGCACGGGUGAGUAACACGUGACUAACCUACCUUUUAGUGGGGGAUAACCUAGGGAAACCUGGGCUAAUACCGCAUAAUACCUACGGGUCAAAGCAGCAAUGCGCUGGAAGAGGGGGUCGCGGCCGAUUAGCUAGUUGGCGGGGUAAUGGCCCACCAAGGCAGUGAUCGGUAUCCGGCCUGAGAGGGCGCACGGACACACUGGAACUGAAACACGGUCCAGACUCCUACGGGAGGCAGCAGUGGGAAUUUGCGCAAUGGGGGAAACCCUGACGCAGCAACGCCGCGUGGAGGAUGAAGACCCUUGGGUCGUAAACUCCUUUCGAUCGGGACGAUAAUGACGGUACCGGAAGAAGAAGCCCGGCUAACUUCGCGCCAGCAGCCGC